rnacentral:rRNA from 1 species
CCUACGGGAGGCAGCAGUGGGGAAUAUUGCACAAUGGGGGAAACCCUGAUGCAGCGACGCCGCGUGAGUGAAGAAGUAUCUCGGUACGUAAAACUCUAUCAGCAGGGAAGAUAAUGACGGUACCUGACCAAGAAGCCCCGUCUAACUACGUGCCAGCAGCCGCGGUAAUAUGUAGGGGGCAAGCGUUAUCCGGAUUUACUGGGUGUAAAGGGAGCGUAUACGGCUGUACAGGUCUGGAGUGAAAUCCCGGGGCUUAACCCCGGAAUUGCUUUGGAAACCGGGCGGCUGGAGUGCAGGAGGGGUAAGCGGAAUGCGUAGUGUAGCGGUGAAAUGCGUAGAUAUUACGAAGAACACCGGUGGCGAAGGCGGCUUACUGGACUGUAACUGACGUUGAGGCUCGAAAGCGUGGGGAGCAAACAGGAUUAGAUACCCCGGUAGUC